rnacentral:rRNA from 1 species
AGGGUGCAAGCGUUAAUCGGAAUUACUGGGCGUAAAGCGCGCGUAGGUGGUUCGCUAAGUUGGAUGUGAAAUCCCCGGGCUCAACCUGGGAACUGCAUUCAAAACUGACGAGCUAGAGUAUGGUAGAGGGUGGUGGAAUUUCCUGUGUAGCGGUGAAAUGCGUAGAUAUAGGAAGGAACACCAGUGGCGAAGGCGACCACCUGGACUGAUACUGACACUGAGGAGCGAAAGCGUGGGUAGCGAACAGG